CCUACGGGUGGCUGCAGUGGGGAAUAUUGCACAAUGGGCGCAAGCCUGAUGCAGCCAUGCCGCGUGUGUGAAGAAGGCCUUCGGGUUGUAAAGCACUUUCAGCGGGGAGGAAGGCGGUGAGGUUAAUAACCUCAUCGAUUGACGUUACCCGCAGAAGAAGCACCGGCUAACUCCGUGCCAGCAGCCGCGGUAAUACGGAGGGUGCAAGCGUUAAUCGGAAUUACUGGGCGUAAAGCGCACGCAGGCGGUCUGUCAAGUCGGACGUGAAAUCCCCGGGCUCAACCUGGGAACUGCAUUCGAAACUGGCAGGCUAGAGUCUUGUAGAGGGGGGUAGAAUUCCAGGUGUAGCGGUGAAAUGCGUAGAGAUCUGGAGGAAUACCGGUGGCGAAGGCGGCCCCCUGGACAAAGACUGACGCUCAGGUGCGAAAGCGUGGGGAGCAAACAGGAUUAGAUACCCGAGUAGUC
rnacentral:rRNA from 1 species